UCUAUUUACCCUUUAGUAAAAGGAAGAGAGGAGAAGAAGAGAAGGGAAGAGAGAUAAAUUGCUGUAGAGAUCGAUUUGCUUGGGAGAUUGCUAGAGGAUUCAGCAAAAAGAUUUUUAGGAAUCCCAGAUAGCCAUGAGAGAGAUUCCUCAGCACCAGGAGGAAUUGUGGACCCUGAUAUUCACGGCAUGGGCAUGACUGCGAAUGUGAUGAUUGUGCAUACAGUGGACAGCAAUAUUGAGGACUGAUGUGAUUGAUUAUCCUUUUGGCGUAUAUAUGUGGAUAGUGGUGGAAAUCAAUUUUUGUUGAUACAGGUUGGAGGGUAAAACUACUAGGAAGAUAUUUUGUGUAAAUAUUUGUUUUAG